AUCUAAAUGACGAGUCCCAAAUAGGACGAAUCGCGUGUCAAACUGGAU
rnacentral:hammerhead_ribozyme from 1 species